GGUGUCUGUGUUUCUCAAAGACUGAUUUCUACCAUUUUCUACCCAAGCCCAAUUCAGUUUGGAAAGUGCAACCGUGGGAGGCCUUGCUGUGAUAUGUUGCUGCUGCUAAAGGUCGACACAGAGCCGAUGAGAGACCAAAUUGCUUCACCAAAGUGACAUUCCAUGUUGAUUUGAGGGAGAAAUCCCCGGUCGUGUAAGCAGGGGGACAAAACUGUGCAAGGGAACGUGAUGACCCAGUGAAGAUGGCCAUGGUCCAGUAAGUGGGUCCAUCCCUUGUCCCUGUUUUGCCUGAAUGAACGCAGCCAACAAAACCCACUUCAGUCUGCCUUGCAUGAAGCCUUACAUGAGAUUGAUAUGGAACUUCACCUCGUAUUAACCCCGUGUUCUUUCCAGAAGACAUGGAAGGGACCCAGAGUUCCUCAGAGGCCAGGAUGCAGUUCAUUAGUGUGUAACUACAUGAG
rnacentral:lncRNA from 1 species